CGUUGAGAAGUUCGUUGUGCAAUUCAAUGUGUCUUGAAGUAAAAUCUUGUUUUGUAAAAUUUUUGUAAACAAAAUAGAUUUAUUAAAAUCAUUUUUUAAUAUUAAUGCUUUAGUAAUUUGAAAUAAAAAAGCAGUAAAUGACUAUAGUAAAAAGUACUGUGAAGGAAUGAUGAAAUAGUAUGAAAUAAAUUAACUAAGAAAAAGUAAAAAUUAAUAUUUGUACCUUGUGUAUCAGGGAAGAUUAAAAUUAACUACUUAUGGUAGAAAUCCCGAAAAAAGAAGAGUUAACGUAAAAUAAAAGUUUUUGUUUCAAAAAGAUUUUUAAUUUUAUGUUAGUGAUGAAAUGUCAGUCGUUUCUUUAUAUCUGGUUGUUAAUGAAUUAAAUUAAAUUUAAUUGUUUUUUGAUAAAAUUUAAAUUAAAAAAUAAUAAAGAAUGGGAGGGAAAAGCUUCUUAUUCUAAAAUAAGUAUACUGUGAUAGAUAAAAAUUGUUGAAUUUAUAUUAAAUUAAGCUUAAAAGCAGCUAAAUU
rnacentral:rRNA from 1 species